ACAUAUCCGUAAAUUCAUCACUCCCCUACGUCUCCACCAUCCCCUUCACUGUAGUUUUUCCCCUCCACAGUCACUCAAAUCAAAACCAAACCCCAAAACUCAUAAACGAAUCAACACUCCAAUACAUACACAGACAUACACACUGUCUCACUGUUGCUGGGUUUCUUAUCUCCUUUCUCUCCCCUAGGGUUAGGGUUUCGAUCCAACAAUGGCUUCGUCGUCCUCUGAUCCUGGUUUGAAAUCCGAAGCCGGUGGUGGCGGCUGCGGUGCAGAGGCGUCAGAGGCGGUGGUUACGAACGAUCAGCUGUUGCUUUACAGAGGACUGAAGAAAGCGAAGAAGGAUAGAGGGUGUACGGCCAAGGAGCGCAUCAGCAAAAUGCCUCCCUGUGCCGCCGGAAAACGCAGCUCUAUCUACCGUGGAGUCACCAGGCAUAGAUGGACUGGACGUUAUGAAGCUCAUCUUUGGGACAAGAGUACUUGGAACCAGAAUCAGAAUAAGAAGGGAAAACAAGUUUACUUGGGGGCGUACGAUGAUGAGGAGGCUGCAGCUAGAGCUUAUGAUCUCGCUGCCUUGAAAUAUUGGGGCCCCGGCACACUCAUUAAUUUUCCAGUUACUGAUUAUACUAGGGAUCUUGAAGAGAUGCAGAAUCUCUCACGAGAAGAAUAUCUUGCAUCUCUGCGGAGAAAGAGCAGUGGUUUCUCAAGAGGAAUUUCUAAAUAUCGUGGCCUUUCCAGCAGUCGAUGGGAGCCAUUUGGUCGUAUGGCUGGAUCUGAGUACUUCAACAGCAUGCAUUAUGGUACGGGCGAUGAUCCAGCAGCAGAAAGUGAAUAUUUAGGAAGUUUCUGCAAUGACAGAAAGUUUGACUUGACAAGUUACAUCAAGUGGUGGGGCCCCAACAAAACUCGUCAUGCAGAUGCUGGGACAAAAUCAUCAGAAGAAACAAAGCAUGCUGGAGAUAUUGGUGUGGAACUAAAAACGUUAGAAUGGGGAGUCCAGCCUACUGAACCAUACCAAAUGCCACGUUUGGGCGUGUCCAAUGAAGAGAGAAAGCAUAAAGGUUCUGCAGUCUCUGCCUUGAGCAUCUUAUCACGGUCAGCUGCCUACAAGAGCUUGCAAGAGACAGCAUCAAAAAAGAAAGAAAACUGUGGCGAUAAUGAUGAGAAUGAAGACAAAAAUACCAUCAAUAAGAUGGACUAUGGCAAGGCAGUUGAGAAAUCCACAAAUCAUGAUGUUGGGACUGGGAGGCUUGGAGUUACACUAGGCAUGAGUGGGGGAUUGUCUCUUCAGAGAAAUGUGUACCCACCGACUCCUUUCUUAUCUGCACCACUUUUAACAAACUACAAUACUGUUGAUCCGUUGGUAGAUCCCAUUCUCUGGACGUCUCUUGUUCCUGUUCUUCCAACAGGGCUUUCUCGUGCAGCUGAGGUUACAAAGACAGAGACCAGUUCGACUUACACACUCUUUCAUUCGGAGGAAUAGGCAGCAAAUUCUCUUCUCACGUACAAUUUGGUGAAAAGUGGAUAUCGGCAUUGCCAGCAAGCAUCUUAGGAAGAAUAAUCUGAACCAUAUGGAAAACAAUAAUUGAGUAUGCCAGACACUUAGGAUGAUAGCUUAUAGAAGUGCAUGCAGUUACUACGAAGCUGCAUUCACUCUCACUUCUGAAAUGGUUCUGGAAAGAAGCAGGCACCACUUAAUCCUUGAAAGAGCUAAGAGUAGAUGAUAGCAACUCAAGCAAUAAGCUUCUACAAGAUUCACCAGACACUCCCAUCCCCACAAGCAACCCAAUUUAUUAUUUAAGGAUCGGUAUUAGAGGCAGACUGUCUCAGAGUAGUUAAUAAAUCCAUAAUCAGCGGGAUCUAAAAAGUACUCUGUAUCACUGUAUAUUAAUAAAUCCAGUUAAUACCAAUUCAUAUUUCUCUAUUCAUUAUAUCGAAGUAUUCAGUUCAAAUCCAUAUUCAAGAAAUUAAUUAUUUUAGUUUUUAA